rnacentral:rRNA from 1 species
UACGUAGGGGGCAAGCGUUGUCCGGAAUCAUUGGGCGUAAAGAGCGUGUAGGCGGCCAGACAAGUUCGCUGUGAAAACUCGAGGCUCAACUUCGAGCUGUCGGUGGAAACUUUCUGGCUAGAGUCCGGAAGAGGAGAAUGGAAUUCCUGGUGUAACGGUGAAAUGCGCAGAUAUCAGGAGGAACACCGAUGGCGAAGGCAGGUCUCUGGGCCACUACUGACGCUGAGAAGCGAAAGCAUGGGGAGCGAACAGG